rnacentral:rRNA from 1 species
AAAAGUCGUAACAAGGUUUCCGUAGGUGAACCUGCGGAAGGAUCAUUAAUGAAAUAAUACUUUGCAGCUUCAAGUUGUUGCUGGUCUCUAAAAAAGACAUGUGCACACUUGUUGUUGUGAAUAUUCAUCCACCUGUGCACUUCUGUAAGUCUGGAUAACUAUCRCAAAAUUUAUUUUGUGGUUUGAAAGGUUGCUUUUAAAGCUCCUUUUGACUUUCCAGACUUAUGAAUUCAUAUACUCUUGUAUGUCUUGAAUGUCUUGUUUACUGGACUUAUGUCCUCUAAAACUAUAUACAACUUUCAACAACGGAUCUCUUGGCUCUCGCAUCGAUGAAGAACGCAGCGAAAUGCGAUAACUAAUGUGAAUUGCAGAAUUCAGUGAAUCAUCGAGUCUUUGAACGCACCUUGCGCCCUCUGGUAUUCCGGAGGGCAUGCCUGUUUGAGUGUCAGUAAAUUCUCAACCUCUCAUGCUUUGUUGGCAUUGAGUGGAUUGGAUAUGGAGGCUUGCUGGAUUUUAUUCAGCUCCUCUAAAAUAUAUUAGCAGAAACCAUUGCUAAGGUUUACUGCAGCCGUGUGAUAAUUAUCUUACGGUUGAAGUAAAUAUUUAGUUUGUCUCACUUUUGGUUUGAAGAGAUGCUCUUUGAGCUCCCUUUGCUUUUCUCUCUUCGGAGUGAUACUUAUCCAAGUGUAGAUUUUUAAUGGSUCUUAUUCAGCUUCUAAUCAUCUGGAAACAGAUAAUACUUGACCAUUUGGCCUCAAAUCAGGUAGGACUACCCGCUGAACUUA